GACGAACGCUGGCGGCGUGCUUAACACAUGCAAGUCGAACGGAAAGGCCCUGCUUUUGUGGGGUGCUCGAGUGGCGAACGGGUGAGUAACACGUGAGUAACCUGCCCUUGACUUUGGGAUAACUUCAGGAAACUGGGGCUAAUACCGGAUAGGAGCUCCUGCUGCAUGGUGGGGGUUGGAAAGUUUCGGCGGUUGGGGAUGGACUCGCGGCUUAUCAGCUUGUUAGUGGGGUAGUGGCUUACCAAGGCUUUGACGGGUAGCCGGCCUGAGAGGGUGACCGGCCACAUUGGGACUGAGAUACGGCCCAGACUCCUACGGGAGGCAGCAGGGGGGAAUAUUGCACAAUGGGCGGAAGCCUGAUGCAGCAACGCCGCGUGCGGGAUGACGGCCUUCGGGUUGUAAACCGCUUUCGCCUGUGACGAAGCGUGAGUGACGGUAAUGGGUAAAGAAGCACCGGCUAACUACGUG
rnacentral:rRNA from 1 species